UAAUAUUUAGGGUCAUCCCUUUGUUUGGAUUUUAGAUAUGGAUGUCAACUGAAUUGUCCAUGUUGCAAAUUAUCCGUAUGCAUUUACUUACAUCUCUUUUUCAUUUCACUGUUUCAUUGUCCAUAUCAUUCUAACUUGUUUGCGGAUUCACAGAUGCUACAUACGUUGUGAGACAACUUAAUAAAAUAGUGAAUAACUAUUGGAGGGGGUCGUGGAAUAGUUACAGCAGCGCACCAAAACAAGUAAAGGAUUUGUGGUGGAAUAAGUUCAAGCGGAAGUUUAGCUGGGAUGAAAUGGAAGAGGAUGAAGUUAGAAGAAUUUUUAAGAAGAAAGCCGGUGAUCAUAUAUGAAAUGUGUGAAUAAAGCAAAAAGAAGUCAAUGGAAGCCGAUUUCAUUACUUGGUGACGAUUGGACAGAAAUAAAGAGAAUUUGGGAAAGUGAAAAGAAUAUGCAAAGAAGUGAACAGGACAAGAAAAAUCGAGCUUCUAGUUUUGUUGAAGGGUCUACGACAUAUGCUGGGGGUUCUAUCAACAUUGGGGAGCAUAAAAAAAGAAUGGUAAGUCUGUUUAACAUGUUGUGAGUUAAUUUAAUUUAAUUACUCAUUUAUGUUUCAAUUUUCUAGGCAAAUGAAUUGGGGACGGAACCGACAUUUACAGCUACAUUUGAACGCACAUUU